CCAGCCAAUGAGAAACGGGCCCAGCCGGAAGGACGGUGCUCGGCGAACGGAAGUGGGGUGUAGGCGGGUUUUGGGUAGCGGGAGGUGGAGUGCGGCCAGGGCACGGCCACGUGGGCUGUGCCGGCACGCGCCAGGGGAGAACGCGGAGGCGGGGUGCUCGCCGCUGGCAAAGCUGACCCGCCUGAGCAGCGGGACUAGAGCGGCCUCGGUGGCGCAAGAGCAUCUUUACAGACACCGUAGAGACGCGAAAGGGGAACAGCCUUCCUCAGGCCACGAUGCUGGAGGCGGUGGGAGUGAUGAGACCCAUUGGGCGGAGGAGAAGAACCUGAGGGUCUCAGGUAGGAAGCCCGUAGUCCAUGCUUCCCGUCCAAGGCCCUCGGCCUGGAGAGGUGGGCCGGGCCGACGGGGUAGGCAAUGAAGAACUGCACAAGCAGGCUCUGAUUCCGGGGUUCCAGCUCUGGCUCGGCUUCUGUUUUCACCUUGUAGCCUCUGGCCAACCCCCUCCGAAGUCUGGGCAUCGGCCUUCGUAAUGAGAGGGUCAGAAAGAGUGAUCUGGUCCUAACUGGUUCAACAGGAACAACUUGAGUUGCUGUUUUUGAAAUACCUAAGAGAGCCCCAGCGGUUUGGCUCAGCGGAUAGAGCCUCGGCUUGAUUCCUGUCAAAGGCACGUGUCCAGGUUGCGGGCUCGAUCCCCAGGAGGGGGCGUGCAGGAGGCCGCCAAUCAAUGAUUCUCAUCAUUGAUGUUUCUAUCUCUCCCCUCUCCCUUCCACUCUGAAAUCAAUAAGAAUAUAUAUAUAUUUUAAAAAUACCUAAGAGAGAACCCCCCGCCCCGCUACACAAACACCUGUUGUUAAUCAGAGCCCUCAUCUUUCAGACCCAGCCAACGCCAUUGAUGUGUUCUUUUGCUGGGAAAAGCAUGGUUCCUCUGGUUCCUCUGCACUUGAAUCCAUUAAAAUAAAGGAGCUCAAAUUCAAAUAUAAGGGCCAGAAAGAGGCAGAAAGCGACACCGAGAAUCCAUUCCAAACGAGCAGCCAAGGGGAGCUGCGGCAGCUCCCAGAUGUUGAUGUUUUGUUUUUCGACAUAAAUCUUUGCACUCA